rnacentral:rRNA from 1 species
UACGAAGGGGGCGAGCGUUGUUCGGAUUUACUGGGCGUAAAGGGCGCGCAGGCGGCCUAUUUUGUCAGGCGUGAAAGCCCCGGGCUUAACCUGGGAACUGCGUUUGAUACGGAUGGGCUAGAGUUCGGGAGAGGAGAGUGGAAUUCCCAGUGUAGAGGUGAAAUUCGUAGAUAUUGGGAAGAACACCGGUGGCGAAGGCGGCUCUCUGAACCGAUACUGACGCUGAGGUGCGAAAGCGUGGGGAGCAAACAGG